GUGCUCAAUUCUGUAGCACACAUGUUUAAAUUAUGAUGACCCUGAGAGGAUUAGCAUGCCCCCUGCCCAAAGAUGGCACACAAAUGCAUAAAACAUUUCAUUUUUCA
rnacentral:snRNA from 1 species